rnacentral:lncRNA from 9 species
UUUUUUUUUUUUUUUUUUUUGGUCUUUUCUAGGCCUGCUCACACGGCAUAUGAAGGUUCCCAGGCUAGGGGUCGAAUCAGAGCUGUAGCCGCCGGCCUAUGCCAGAGCCACAGCAACGCGGGAUCCAAGCUGCGUCUGCAACUUACGCCACAGCUCACAGCAACGCCUGACCCUUAGCCCACUGAGCAAGGCCAGAGAUCGAACCUGAAACCUCAUGGUUCCUAGUCGGAUUCGUUAACCACUGAGCCAUGACGGGAACUCCCUCUUUUUGCCAUUUCUAGGGCCACUUCUGUGGCAUAUGGAGGUUCCUGGGAUAGGGGUCUAAUUGGAGCUGUAGCCACCGGCCUACACCAGAGCCACAGCAACGUGGGAUCCUAGCUGUGUCUGCAGCCUAUACCACAGCUCAUGGCAACGCUGGAUCCUUAACCCACUGAGCAAGGCCAGGGAUCAAAGCUACAACCUCAUGGUUCCCAGUCGGAUUUGUUAACUACUGAGCCAUGAUGGGAACUUCAAUAAAAGGCAUCUAAAUUAGAAAGGAAGAAGUGGGGAGUUCAUGUUGUGGUGCAGUGGAAAUGAAUCUGACUAGGAACCAUGAGGUUUCGGGUUUGAUCCCUGGCCUCACUCAGUGGGUUAAGGAUUGGGCGUUGCUUUGAGCUGUGGUGUAGGUCACAGACAUGGCUCGGAUCCCGAGUUGCUGUGGCUGUGGUGUAGGCCAGCAGCUGUAGCUCCGAUCAGACCCCUAGCCUGGGAACCUCCACAUGCCAUAGAUGAGGCCCUAAAAAGCAAAAUAAAAAAAAUAAAAAAAGAAAAGGAAAGGAAGAAGUAUAAAAUGAUCUUUGUUCACAGGUGAUACGAUACUAAGUGUAGAAAAGUCCUAAAGAUUUUGCAAAAUCUUUAGAAUUAAUAAGUGAAUUCAGUAAAGUAGCAGGAUGCAAAGUCAACACAUAAAAAUCACUUGUAUUUUGGGGGUUUUCUGACAGUGCAGCUGGUUAAGGGUCUGGUAUUGUCACUGCAGCAGCUUGGGUUGCUGCUGUGGUGUGGGUUCACCCCUGGCCUGAGAACUUCCAUAUGCAUUUCUGUCCACUAAUAGUGAACAAUCCCCAAAGGAAAGUAAUAAAACAAUUCCAUUUACGGUACUAGCAAAAGAUAAAUUACUUAGGAAUAAAGCUAACCGAGGAGUAAAAGACUUGCACACUGAAAACCAUAAGUCGUUGCUGAAAGAAAUUAAAGAAGACAUAAGUAAUUGGAAAGAUAGCCCAUGUUCAUGGAUUGGAAGUCUUCUUACCCAAAGUGAUCUACAGAUUCAGCAUAACCCUUGUCAAAAUUCCAGUGAUGUCCUGCAGAAGUGGAAGAACCCAUCCUAAAAUUCACAUGGAAUCUCAAGGCACUGGAAACAAUUUCAGUUGGUGAAGAUGAAUGUAGAUGGUGGUGACAGUGUCACUCUAUGCAUGUGUUUAAUACCACUGACGUGUACACUUAAAGGUGGUAAAGGUGGUAAAUUUGUACAUUUUACCACAAUAAACAAAUUAAAUGAGUUCUCUGGUGGCUCAGUGGGUUAAGGAUCUGAUGUUGUCACUGCUGUGGUGCAGGUUCAGGCGUGGCCCAGGAACUUCUGCUUGACGUGGGUAUGACCAAAAAAAUUUAAAUGAAACAAAAACUGAAUUGUUGGUGUUUUAUCAUUGGCAUAGAUCAUUUGCUUUGUGUGCUCACAGCUGCUCUCAGCUCCGAGUGUUGUGUUCUGUGUCUCAUGCAGCCUAGGGGACCUGAGGGCUGGGAUCUCAGACAGAGCAUGUUGGUGCAGUCGGCUAAUCUCCAGGGCAGGGGAUCCUGUUGACUUGUUCUUCAUGUUUUACGGGGUGCCUACUAUGUGCUAGGGGACACACCAGCCACUCGUGUGGUUCCAGCGCCCAGUGUGAGGCCCCUUAAUUGGCUUCAAAUGUAGCUGUGGUGUUCCUGAGCCGCUUAACGACCUUGGGUAAUGAGGUGUCUCAGGCUCAGUAUUUGUUUAAUGCUUUAUUCCUGGGCACAGAACAGUGGUGACAUUAAUUUCUUGGGGACUUUAAUGAUGUAUGUGUUGGUGGAGUCCCCAGCUCCUGACCCUUAAGGUGCUAGAUCUGUUUGGGGCCAUGUGAAAUGUUUUGCAUCACUUACGGAAGGAAAAAAAAAGGUGCUAUUUUUCCUUGAGAAAAGAAGAGGUAUUUCACAGCCAAACCUUGUUCUUCUGUGGAACAUUUGUCAAAGACUGCAGAAAGCAAACACAUGGAAAUUUCCAAUACUUCUUCUAAAGGAAGGAGUUGGCUCUGUCACGAUGAGAACAGUGGGCCCGUUCCUCCAUCCACCCAUAUACCCACCUAUCACAGGCUGAGGCCUGCUCUAUUCCACCCGCCACGGGGUUAGUGUGUGUGUCCAGCCAGCUGGGUGAGGCCAGUGAUUUCACCUUUCUGAACUCUCAUUUCUUCACUUGCCAAACGAGGCUGUAUUAGUGACAGGUGUAGCUCAAUGCCUGGUCUCAAGCAAGUAAGCCUUUGAUACAUGUAGCCAAGUUACAGCUCUUAUCAAUAAUAAUAAUAGUAUUAUACAUUGAAAUAGGUACCGUUUUCACGCUACGGGAGGAAACUGAGGUAGAGUGCUCUGGUCCUAUUGCCUCUGAGCACAGAUGUGAAACAUGCGCCUUUUGCCUCUGAGCACAGAUGUGAAACAUGCGGGAGCCUGGCUGGGCUGGACCCCUGGAACUGCUCCUUGCUGCUUGUGUGGCUGUGACUUCUUUCAGAUCCCUGGGCAUCCCUGAGGGCCUGGGUUCUGAGGGCUCACCGGGGAGGAAGCCAGAGGUUAUGAUCCCCACCUCGGGACACAGUGAAAAGAUUAAGAACAAAAGAUGAUCACUUCAUUUAUUUUCCUAUGGAAAUAGCUGCUUUCCUCCCACUCCCUUCAAACCACUCCAAACAAAGCUUCCUUGGGGUUUCCAAGGCUCUCUCUUGCUUCCCUCCUCCCCGGUGAGAGCCGUGGAUUAUGACCUGGUUCGGCACAGGCGGCCCCUGUGUGUGCACUCCCAAAUUCUUCCUUCUUAAAUAAAAUUUAAGACCAUCUGAAAACGAGCUGCAAGGCUGACCUCCUGGCUUUGAUUCUUGGUUGAGUUUCUGAAAUGCGUAUGAGGCAGAGCCUGCUAAUGCGCUGAAAUAAUUACCCUUUGCUCCAGGGAGGUGUUAAUGCCUGAGGUAUUUGCCUGCCAGUUGUCUGGCAGCUAGUGAGAAGCGGUGUCAGCCUCUCCCACUGACUAUCAAGUCACAGCCUUCUCAUCCUUUCCAGGAUUGCUGUUGGUCCUAAUUGAUGGCAGCCACUUGACCAUGUCCUGAAGGGUGACGUAGAUGCCCCCAGCUCUGCUUCCAGGUGUCUUUGGGAACAGACCUCAGACAUGUCAUGGCAUCCAGCCUCCAUGAUGCUCAGGGGUCUUACCUCCUGAAAUUCAUAGCACCCCCUUGUGAAGCACCCCCCCUCCCCCGCAUUGCACCGCUUUUGGUCUCUAUAACCAAUAGAAUCUGUGGAAGGGAUGUGAUUUCCAAGAUUAGGUCAGGAAAGAUACUGUGGCUUCCGUCUGGUGUGUCCCUCCCUGCCCCUCCCUUGCCUCCCCCUCUUCCUCCUCCAUCUCUGUCUCUGUGUCUUUCUGUCUGUCUCUCUCCCUGCCCUCCCUACUUCUCUUUUGGAAAUUCUGCUUUGCGGGAAUUUCCAGCAGCCAUGUCCUAAGCAGCCCUAUGGAGAGGUCCCAUGACAAGGAACUGAAACCUCAUUAGGCACUUGGGUGACGUUGGCUGCGGACCCUCCUGCUCCUGGAGAGGGCAGCCAUGUCCUAAGCAGCCCUAUGGAGAGGUCCCAUGACAAGGAACUGAAACCUCAUUAGGCACUUGGGUGACAUUGGCUGCGGACCCUCCUGCUCCUGGAGAGCCUUCAGGUGACGGCAGUGUGGCCAUCACCUUUCUACAGGAGAACAUUUUGGAUCUAGUAGGAACUGGGGGUGUUCACUUACUUGACGCCCACCUAUCGGGUGGGAAAAUGAUUACAAAUAUGCUCAGGGAAGUAAUACGUUUCUGAGACAUGAGCUAGAGAGCCUUCUUUGCUAUAGUUACUAAUGGUUAAGUGAGAAUGUUUUGCUUUUCUGUGAUGGGAAGGGAAGUGUACUCAUGUGUUUUGAGUGCCAACGAUAAUGAUAAUUACUAGCCACAGUUUCCCACCUGCACUUGCUCCACAGACUUUUUACAUGCAUGAUCUUUUUUUUUUUUUGUAUUUUUAGGGCUGCACCUACCGCAUAUGGAAGUUCCCAGGCUAGGGGUCCAGUCGGAGCUGCAGCUGCUGACCUAUGCCACAGCCACAGCAGUGCCAGAUCUGAGCUACCUCUGCGACCUACACCAUAGCUCAUGGCAAUGCCAGAUCCUUAACCCGCUGAGCAAGGCCAGGGAUGGAACUUGUGUUCUCAUGGAUGCUAGUCGGAUUUGUUACCCCUGAGCCUCUAACAGGUAAGGUAACUGAGGCUCAGAGAGGUAUAGUGACUUGCCCAAGGUCACACAGCUAGCCAGCCAACUAUGAUCAUGAAAAAAGAAAAAUUGAAACCUUGGAGGAGUUCGUCCAUGACACAGUGGGUUAAGAAUCCAUCUAUAGCGGUUUGGGUCGCUGCAGAGGUGAUCCCCAGCCCAGUGCAGUGGGUUAAAGUAUCCAGUGUUGCUGUAGCUGUGACUCAGGUCACAGCUGUGGUGUGGAUUCAAUCCCUGGCCUGGGGAACUUCCAUAUGCGCAGG